rnacentral:rRNA from 1 species
UACGUAGGGGGCAAGCGUUGUCCGGAAUCAUUGGGCGUAAAGAGCGUGUAGGCGGCCAGAAAAGUCCGCUGUGAAAACUCGAGGCUCAACUUCGAGCUGUCGGUGGAAACUUUCUGGCUAGAGUCCGGAAGAGGAGAAUGGAAUUCCUGGUGUAGCGGUGAAAUGCGCAGAUAUCAGGAAGAACACCCGUGGCGAGGGCGGUUCUCUGGGACGGUACUGACGCUGAGACGCGAAAGCGUGGGGAGCGAACAGG